UUACGGCCAUAUCACGCUGAAAUACCAGUUCUCGUUCAAUUACAGAAGUUAAACAACGUCGUACCUGGCCAGUACCUAGAUGGGAGACUGGCUGGGAAUAACAGGUACUGUUA